rnacentral:ncRNA from 1 species
GCCCCUACCAGGGGGAGCUUCGCCCGAAGAAGCUGAGAGGUCACUGAAAGACUGCAAGGUCUGCGGUGUGACGACCCUGCCGGGUGCAUUCUGCAUCCGGGAAACCUGAUCCGGUUAGAACCGGCGGAGGGAAUGGUGUUGAGACACAAC